GUCAAAACUCGCCGCUAAGCAGAAGGCUCUGCAGAAACGUGCGAAGGGUGCGGGUCUCGACGCGUCGGUGGUGCUGAAGUGCACAGAAAAGGCG
rnacentral:SRP_RNA from 1 species